rnacentral:rRNA from 1 species
AACGUAGGACGCAAGCGUUAUCCGGAGUACUGGGCGUAAAGCGCGGGCAGGCGGCUCGAUGCGUCUGAUGUGAAAUCUCCUCGCUCAACGGGGAGAGGCCAUUGGAAACGGUCGGGCUGGAGGGCAGUAGAGGUAGGCGGAAUUCCGGGUGGAGUGGUGAAAUGCGUAGAGAUCCGGAGGAACACCAGAGGCGAAGGCGGCCUACUGGGCUGCACCUGACG